CAGAGAGGAGGCAGAGAGGAGGCAGAGAGGAGGCAGAGAGGAGGCAGAGAGGAGGCAGAGAGGAGGCAGAGAGGAGGCAGAGAGGAAGCAGAGAGGCAGAGAGGCAGAGAGAGAGGCAGAGAGGCAGAGGCAGAGGCAGGAGAAUCUCUGAGUUUGAGGCCAGCCUGGUUUACAGAGCCAGUUCCAAGAUAGGCAGGGCUACACAGAGAAACCCUUUCCUGCCCCCCAUACCUCCAUAUACAUCUCUAAUCUUAUUGGAUUUACAAAUUCCCAUCAGAACAUUCUCUUAAGCUUCGUUUAUGACAUUCUAAAUCCUCUCAUAUU
rnacentral:lncRNA from 1 species